GCGGUACAGAGAAGAUUAGCAUGGGCCAUGCGCAAGAAUGACACGCGAAAUUGUGAAUUUAGUUUUUCUAUU
rnacentral:misc_RNA from 13 species